CUCUUCUUCCCAGUACCUUGCCUCCUUCAUCUCGCUUCCUAAUCUAAAUCUUGCCACCCUUAUCCACCUGCUUUCUCCCCAUCCCUUUCCCAGAUAUCCUGGUAUCCCUUCUCCUUUCACUAGCCUGUACCAUCUAGAUCGGAUGAGCA